CGUCUGCUCGUCUUGUGCUCGCGUCUGCUGCUGUCCAUCAGAUCAAAAGUACAGCAACUUCGAGAGCGUUAUUAUAAACGUUUUAAGUUUGAAGCGUUUGAAGAAACCACAACUUUAAUUCUAACGUGACUUUGUGAUAGACAGAUCUCUCUCUGUGGAAAUAUCGGAGACGUAAUGCGAGAGAGGAUUGAGUCGAGUGUACUAAGUCGGCUUCUCUUGGGAACCUUCAGUUACCUUCAUUUGCUGUUGGCCUGGUCUCAGAGUGAGGGUCAACCAUCAACCUCUCGGACACCUAACCUAUAGUAGGUUAUGGGAUGCCAUAUUCUCAUCUUAUGAUAUAAUUGCUUGUACAGCUCCCAUCGGCUUUUGUUCGUCAGCAUUUAUUGUGCAGAUUUCCUUAUCUUAUGCUGAUAUUUGAUACAUUAUUGAACAUUGAUGUCAACAUUUACGGCAGCACAACCCUUGGGGUGCGUUAUGCGGGCCUUUCUCUAUUCGCCUAUCAUUGCAUCAGAACCACAACGCGUAGGCAGAGUACAAGUUCUGCUCUGAUUUGAAAUGUCUUGAACCAAAGAAUCAAUUGACAAGGUCAUUAUUGUUACAAAGGAUAUCUUGAAUGCAGCAAGGUUUCUCCUGUAUUUCAGUCAACAUUAAUUUUCUUUUGUGCAAUGAGUUACAAUGAGUACAGUCAUCAAUAAAUCUUGAAAUAACCAAAA